rnacentral:rRNA from 1 species
GAUGAACGCUGGCGGCGUGCCUAAUACAUGCAAGUAGAACGCUGAAGGAAGGAGCUUGCUCUUUCCGGAUGAGUUGCGAACGGGUGAGUAACGCGUAGGUAACCUGCCUGGUAGCGGGGGAUAACUAUUGGAAACGAUAGCUAAUACCGCAUAACAGUAGAUGUUGCAUGAUAUCUACUUAAAAGGCGCAAUUGCACCACUACCAGAUGGACCUGCGUUGUAUUAGCUAGUUGGUGAGGUAACGGCUCACCAAGGCGAAGAUACAUAGCCGACCUGAGAGGGUGGUCGGCCACACUGGGACUGAGACCCGGCCCAGACUCCUACGGGAAGGAGCAGUAGGGAAUCUGCGGCAAUGGGCGGAAAUCUGACCGAGAGACGCCGCGUGAGUGAAGAAGGUUUUCGGAUCCGAAAGCUCUGUUGUAAGGGAAGAAAGAGUGUGAGAGUGGAAAGUUCACGCUGUGACGGUAUCUUACCAGAAAGGGACGGCUAACUACGUG